UAACACGUAGGUAACCUGCCCAUGUGCCCGGGAUAACUUCUGGAAACGGAUGCUAAAACCGGAUAGGUAGCAGACAAGCAUUUGACUGCUAUUAAAGUGGCCUUGGCCAUGAACAUGGAUGGACCUGCGGUGCAUUAGCUAGUUGGUGAGGUAACGACCCACCAAGGCGACGAUGCAUAGCCGGCCUGAGAGGGCGGACGGCCACAUUGGGACUGAGACACGGCCCAAACUCCUACGGGAGGCAGCAGUAGGGAAUUUUCGUCAAUGGGGGGAACCCUGAACGAGCAAUGCCGCGUGAGUGAGGAAGGUCUUCGGAUCGUAAAGCUCUGUUGUAAGAGAAAGACGGCACUCAUAGGGAAUGAUGAGUGAGUGAUGGUAUCUUACCAGAAAGUCACGGCUAACUACGUGCCAGCAGCCGCGGUAAUACGUAGGUGGCGAGCGUUAUCCGGAAUGAUUGGGCGUAAAGGGUGCGUAGGUGGCAGAUCAAGUCUGGAGUAAAAGGUAUGGGCUCAACCCGUACUGGCUCUGGAAACUGAUCAGCUAGAGAACAGAAGAGGACGGCGGAACUCCAUGUGUAGCGGUAAAAUGCGUAGAUAUAUGGAAGAACACCGGUGGCGAAGGCGGCCGUCUGGUCUGGAUUCUGACACUGAAGCACGAAAGCGUGGGGAGCAAAUAGGAUUAGAUACCCUAGUAGUCCACGCCGUAAACGAUGAGAACUAGGUGU
rnacentral:rRNA from 1 species